AAGAAGGAAGCAUAGAACUCGUGGAUCAAACACUACAGAUUUCUCUACAAACUACAAGUUCAAACAUUUAAACGCUCAAUCUACAAGUUCAAGUUCAAGAUCAAGAACGAAGCCAAAUUAAAUACCAAGGCAUUCAAGAUCAAAUUACUUAUUCGUGAUCAAAACCCAAUUCAAGUUCAAGAAGGAAAUUCAAGACCAAGCUUUACACGCCCUUGAAUCAAAUCAAAGUCAAG
rnacentral:lncRNA from 1 species